rnacentral:lncRNA from 1 species
AUUGCAAUAGCCCAGUGCCUCGGUGAAGGCUGUAUUUCACAUCCCAACAACAUGGAACAAAUUGCACAAACUCAAGGAAUUAGAUCCCUUGGUAACAAAUAUUGAAGUCACUUUUUAAAAUGUCACCAAAUGGCUCUGUUAACUCUGUUUUGUAACAAGUGAGAGGCAGAUGGCACUUUGAAGUGUAUGAUGCAUCUUGGAAGAGCAAAAUUGCUCAGGCAUUUUUGUCUAGUUUGCUAAGAUGGAGUGACAAUGCCCCAGAUGAAAGGUGCUUGGCAUGCCCUCACACAAAAGGCUGAGUACCAUUGAGGUACUUACACUGUUUGCUUUUGGCACAAGUGUCUCCCAGAACUGUUUAAUUGACUAAGCCUGAGUCAUUAAAUACCCCGAAGUAUCAAAGAAGCACACAGAGAGUGUAAGACAACAGAAGCCAAGACUCUUCUCCAGGGUGGAAAUAGCCUGAAGAUGUCUGCGUGGAUGAGGAAGAGGGCUGUUUACUUUCAGUGUUUGCAAGAACGUUCAACAGCUGGAUGCUUGGAACUUUGCACAGAUGCAGACUUUAGAGCAAAGCCCCUUUUCUCUGGCAGCAAGAAGCACUCACUCCCCUUCCCCCAUCACCUCUGCUUGGCUUCAGUGUAUUUUCCUGAUUUGCUUUUAAAAAGCAUACUCCUAAGCUUCAAAGGGUGGCAGAUAGAGGCACCCUGGAAGGUCAGAGUGUCCGGUGGUGCAGGAGUCUCUACAGAGUGCCUGACUAUUGGGAGGGGCUUCACAAACAAAGAAAAAAGAA